UACAGAGGGUGCAAGCGUUAAUCGGAAUUACUGGGCGUAAAGCGUGCGUAGUCGGUUAUUUAAGUCGGGCGUGAAAGCCCCGGGCUCAACCUGGGAAUUGCGUUCGAUACUGGAUAGCUAGAGUUCGGCAGAGGGAAGCGGAAUUUCUGGUGUAGCGGUGAAAUGCGUAGAUAUCCGGAAGAACACCGGUGGCGAAGGCGGCCUGCUGGGACAGUGCUGACGCUGAGGCGCGACAGCGUGGGGAGCAAACAGG
rnacentral:rRNA from 1 species